rnacentral:rRNA from 1 species
CGCUCCCGGGGCUACCCUACUCCCGUAGGGUUUAGAGUCGUCGGGCCUCUCGGAGAAGCUCGGUCCUGAACUCCACCCUUGAAUAAACUACCUUUGUUGCUUUGGCGGGCCGCCUCGUGCCAGCGGCUUCGGCUGUUGAGUGCCCGCCAGAGGACCCCAACUCUUGUUUUUAGUGAUGUCUGAGUACUAUAUAAUAGUUAAAACUUUCAACAACGGAUCUCUUGGUUCUGGCAUCGAUGAAGAACGCAGCGAAAUGCGAUAAGUAAUGUGAAUUGCAGAAUUCAGUGAAUCAUCGAAUCUUUGAACGCACAUUGCGCCCUCUGGUAUUCCGGGGGGCAUGCCUGUUCGAGCGUCAUUAUAACCACUCAAGCUCUCGCUUGGUAUUGGGGUUCGCGGUUUCGCGGCCCCUAAAAUCAGUGGCGGUGCCUGUCGGCUCUACGCGUAGUAAUACUCCUCGCGAUUGAGUCCGGUAGGUCUACUUGCCAGCAACCCCUAAUUUUUUUAAGGUUGACCUCGGAUCAGGUAGGGAUACCCGCUGAACUUAAGCAUAUCAA